GAUUUGACCUCGCUGGUAAACAGAUCGAAUACUCUUUCAAUAAACUCAGUGUAAACUGUUUUUACCACGUAUCCAUUAAUUUUACCUCAAAACCACAAAGACGCUUUUUUCCAUCCAUCCAUCCAUCCAGCCAGCCAGCCAGCCAGCCAGCCAGCCAGCCAGCCCUGCUGCAUCAUCUAAUCAUGUCUUAGCUUCAGCUCACAAACAGAUGACCUUACCUUCUCAAAAUGUUCAGCCUAUCUCAUUUCUAUUAAUUUUACUUCAGAACUUUGACCGAAGCCACUACAAAGACGCUUUCUUCUUCUCUGUUCAAAUAAUAAAAUCCUGU